AAGGAGUGUGUAACAACUCACCUGCCGAAUGAAUUAGCCCUGAAAAUGGAUGACGCUUAAGCGGACAGCCGACACCACGUCGUCUGAUCAAAGUGGGUACCAGAUGAGUAGGAGGGCGUGGCGGUCGUAUGGAAGCGUCGGUGCGAACCGGCGUGAAACGGCCGCUAGUGCAGAUCUUGGUGGUAGUAGCAAAUAUUCAAGUGAGAUCCUUGAAGGACGAAGCGGGGAAGGGUUCCACGCGAACAUUGAUUGAGCGUGGGUGAGUCGUUCCUAAGCCGAGUGGUCAUAGCUAAUUACCGGCGAAAGGGAAGCAGGUUGACAUUCCUGCACACGGAUGUGGAGGCGGUGACGCCGUAUUGAGGUGAUGACGUUGGCAGUGGCUCUGGGCAGAGUUUUCUUUUCUGUUUGACCGUCAAUGUGCGCUGUGUGGAAUCCGCUUGUCGGGAGAAACACGCGUGCACGGGCAGAGCGCCGGGGCUUUUCCGGCGUCCAGAUCGCCACUGACGACCCUUGAAAAAUCACCCGCUGAUUUAUACAAUCCACGCCGUGGCGUACCGAUCACCGCAUCAGGUCCCCAAGGUGAACAGCCUCUGUUCAAUAUGAAAAAUGC
rnacentral:rRNA from 1 species